CAGUAGCCACGGUAAUACGAAGGGUGCAAGCGUUAAUCGGAAUUACUGGGCGUAAAGCGUGCGUAGGCGGUUUGUUAAGUCUGUUGUGGAAUCCCCGGGCUCAACCUGGGAAUGGCAAUGGAUACUGGCAAGCUAGAGUGUGUCAGAGGAUGGUGGAAUUCCCGGUGUAGCGGUGAAAUGCGUAGAGAUCGGGAGGAACAUCAGCGGCGAAGGCGGCCAUCUGGGACAACACUGACGCUGAGGCACGAAAGCGUGGGGAGCAAACAGGAUUAGAUACCCCGGUAGUCCCUGUCUCUUAUAC
rnacentral:rRNA from 1 species